ACGGCGAGUGAAGCGGCAACAGCUCAAAUUUGAAAUCUGGCGCAAGCCCGAGUUGUAAUUUGUAGAGGAUGCUUCUGGGUAGCGACCGAUCUAAGUUCCUUGGAACAGGACGUCAUAGAGGGUGAGAAUCCCGUAUGUGACCGGCCCGCACCCUUUACGUAGCUCCUUCGACGAGUCGAGUUGUUUGGGAAUGCAGCUCUAAAUGGGAGGUAAAUUUCUUCUAAAGCUAAAUACCGGCCAGAGACCGAUAGCGCACAAGUAGAGUGAUCGAAAGAUGAAAAGUACUUUGGAAAGAGAGUUAAAAAGCACGUGAAAUUGUUGAAAGGGAAGCGCCUGCAACCAGACUUCGUGGCAGUGUUCCGCCGGUCUUCUGACCGGUUCAUUCUCUGUCGCGAGGCCAUCAUCGUCUGGGCCCGCCGGAUAAGACCUGAGGAAUGUGGCUCCCCCUCGGGGGAGUGUUAUAGCCUCUGGUGAUGCGGCGAGGCUCGGGCGAGGUCCGCGCUUCGGCAAGGAUGAUGGCGUAAUGGUUGUCGGCGGCCCGUCUUGAAACACGGACCAAGGAGUCUAACAUCUAUGCGAGUGUUCGGGUGUCAAACCCCUACGCGUAAUGAAAGUGAACGGAGGUGGGAACCGCAAGGUGCACCAUCGACCGAUCCUGAUGUCCUCGGAUGGAUUUGAGUAAGAGCAUAGCUGUUGGGACCCGAAAGAUGGUGAACUAUGCCUGAAUAGGGUGAAGCCAGAGGAAACUCUGGUGGAGGCUCGCAGCGGUUCUGACGUGCAAAUCGAUCGUCAAAUUUGGGUAUAGGGGCGAAAGACUAAUCGAACCAU
rnacentral:rRNA from 1 species